UACGUAGGGGGCAAGCGUUGUCCGGAUUUAUUGGGCGUAAAGGGCGUGUAGGCGGCCUUUUAAGUCUGAAGUGAAACUCCAGGGCUCAACCCUGGAACUGCUUCGGAUACUGGGAGGCUUGAGUACUCUAGAGGGCAGUGGAAUUGCCGGUGUAGCAGUGAAAUGCGUAGAGAUCGGCAGGAACACCAGUGGCGAAGGCGACUGCCUGGGGAGAAACUGACGCUGAGGCGCGAAAGCUGGGGGAGCAAACGGGAUUAGAAACCCCAGUAGUCC
rnacentral:rRNA from 1 species